GUAGGUGGCAAGCGUUGUCCGGAAUUAUUGGGCGUAAAGCGCGCGCAGGUGGUUCUUUAAGUCUGAUGUGAAAGCCCCCGGCUCAACCGGGGAGGGUCAUUGGAAACUGGGGAACUUGAGUGCAGGAGAGGGAAGUGGAAUUCCACGUGUAGCGGUGAAAUGCGUAGAUAUGUGGAGGAACACCAGUGGCGAAGGCGACUUUCUGGCCUGUAACUGACACUGAGGCGCGAAAGCGUGGGGAGCAAACAGGGAUUAGAUACCCUGGUAGUCCACGCCGUAAACGAUGAGUGCUAAGUGUUGGGGGGGUUUCCCGCCCCUCAGUGCUGCAGCUAACGCAUUAAGCACUCCGCCUGGGGAUACGGUCGCAAGACUG
rnacentral:rRNA from 1 species